UACGGAAGGCAGCAGUGGGGAAUAUUGCACAAUGGGCGCAAGCCUGAUGCAGCCAUGCCGCGUGUAUGAAGAAGGCCUUCGGGUUGUAAAGUACUUUCAGUCGUGAGGAAGGUGUUAAGGUUAAUAACCUUAGCAAUUGACGUUAGCGACAGAAGAAGCACCGGCUAACUCCGUGCCAGCAGCCGCGGUAAUACGGAGGGUGCGAGCGUUAAUCGGAAUUACUGGGCGUAAAGGGCACGCAGGCGGUUAAUUAAGUUGGAUGUGAAAUCCCCGGGCUUAACCUGGGAAUGGCAUUCAAGACUGGUUAGCUAGAGUCUUGUAGAGGGGGUAGAAUUCCAUGUGUAGCGGUGAAAUGCGUAGAGAUGUGGAGGAAUACCGGUGGCGAAGGCGGCCCCUGGGACAAGACUGACGCUCAUGUGCGAAAGCGUGGGGAGCAAACGAGGAUUAGAUA
rnacentral:rRNA from 1 species